rnacentral:rRNA from 1 species
GACGAACGCUGGCGGCGUGCUUAACACAUGCAAGUCGAACGGAGUGGCGAACGGGUGAGUAACACGUGGGUGAUCUGCCUUGCACUUCGGGAUAAGCUUGUGAAACUGGGUCUUAUACCGGAUAGUGCAAGAUGAGCUCGCGGCCUAUCAGCUGUUUGGUGGGGUAAUGGCCUACCAAUGCGUCGACGGGUAGCCGGCCUGAGAGGGUGUACGGCCACAUUGGGACUGAGAUACGGACCAGACGCCUACGGGAGGCAGCAGUGGGGAAUAUUGCACAAUGGGCGGAAGCCUGAUGCAGCGACGCCGCGUGGGGGAUGAAGGCCUUGGGGUUGUAAACUCCUUUAGGCAGGGACGCGGUACCUGUAUAAGAAGCACCGGCUAACUACGUGCCAGCCGCCGCGGUAAUAC